GACGUAGGGCGCGAGCGUUGUCCGGAUUUAUUGGGCGUAAAGAGCUCGUAGGCGGCUUGUCGCGUCGACUGUGAAAUCCCGCGGCUCAACUGCGGGUCUGCAGUCGAUACGGGCAGGCUAGAGUUCGGUAGGGGAGACUGGAAUUCCUGGUGUAGCGGUGAAAUGCGCAGAUAUCAGGAAGAACACCCGUGGCUAAGGCGGCUCUCUAGUACGGUACUGACGCUGAGACGCGAAAGCGUGGGGAGCGAACAGG
rnacentral:rRNA from 1 species